UCAGGAGUUGGAAAUGAAUCCAGGAAAACCAAUUAUUUCCUCAAAAGGUCCACCACAAGAAGUUUUGUCAUGGAUUCUCCCUUUGAUCUUCUUUCCAUGUUGUCUGGAAUUUUAAUUUGACUCAUGUAUAUUUUGUUUCAUUGGUAAAGGGUAAAAGGCUUCAAAGUAAGAUGUGGAAAAGAUAGAAAAUAGGACUGAGUAAAAUAGUGAGUAAAAGAGCUUUCAGUUGUUUGCUUCAGCUACCUCCAGCCACAAAGUGUGCCAGAGAAGGAACAGAGGCAGAAGCAGAAUCGAAAGCAGGGUCCAAGUCACCCAUUUGGUGUUGUUUACUUCUCACAACAGAAGAGGAAAGUUCCUGAUGCAACAGGCCCUCUUCAUAACCGUUGAGUCAGGGCUUGAUGAUUUUGUUUGCCUAUUAGUAAAGUGAGAAGGAGUCAAAGUUGGAAAAUGGGAUGUUAAAUUCUGUAGAGGAACUAUUAAAAUUCUUUGAAGCAUUUUGUCAACCAUGGUUGGAUGUUAGGAGGGUGUGGGAUGUUGUUUUAUUCAAGACAAGUAGGCCAAUAUUUGCUACUUAUAACAUGUUUGGAUCAGCUUAUUAUUUCACAUAAUCAAUUAUGGCACGCACAAGCUUCUCCCCGUAAUUCUACUCUUGGACUGGGCGAGACCCCAGGGUCUCUCGCCCAAGGGCAUCGGCCUUAGGCAGGGAGCGCGCCAGGGGUUUGGGCUUCUCUCCCCAAGGCCCAACUAGCCCAUUAAGGUACAAUAGAGGCGCCAAGCCCAACUCAACACCUAUAAAUAGGGGACGGUUACCAAUUGUAAAGGACUCUUGGCUCAUUUGAGAAAUAUUCAGAUUGAAAUUCAGUUAUUCUCUCUCUCUCUAGCGGUUAGAACUUCUCUCUCUAAAACACUCAUAUCACUUUCCUCACACUUUGGGUACUCUACCCCCAUU